rnacentral:misc_RNA from 1 species
GCAAACUUGGUCAUUUAGAGGAAGUAAAAGUCGUAACAAGGUCUCCGUUGGUGAACCAGCGGAGGGAUCAUUACAGAGUUUUCUAAACUCCCAACCCUAUGUGAACUUACCUUUGUUGCUUCGGCGGCGGAGGCUACCCUGCGGGAGAAUACCACUUAGUGGUUACCCUGUAGUUUCAGGUACAUCAGCUACCCGGUAGUCAUCCCCGCCGGCGGCCAACUAAACUCUGUUUUCUUUGGAAUUCUGAAUAACAAACUUAAUAAGUUAAAACUUUCAACAACGGAUCUCUUGGUUCUGGCAUCGAUGAAGAACGCAGC